GACGACGCUGGCGGCGUGCCUAAUACAUGCAAGUAGAACGAGUUGCGAACGGGUGAGUAACGCGUGGUAACCUGCCUCAUAGCGGGGGAUAACUAUUGGAAACGAUAGCUAAUACCGCAUACCAUCAGAUGUGCCCAGAUGGGAUUAGCUAGUAGGUGGGGUAACGGCUCACCUAGGCGACGAUCCCUAGCUGGUCUGAGAGGAUGACCAGCCACACUGGAACUGAGACACGGUCCAGACUCCUACGGGAGGCAGCAGUGGGGAAUCUUCGGCAAUGGACGGAAGUCUGACCGAGCAACGCCGCGUGUAUGAAGAAGGCCUUCGGGUUGUAAAGUACUUUCAGCGGGGAGGCGUUACCCGCAGAAGAAGCACCGGCUAACUCCGUGCCAGCAGCCGCGGUAAUAC
rnacentral:rRNA from 1 species